AUCUCACAGGAGUGUAACAUCAAUAUGAGCCACAAUCUAGGAGGUAUAUUAUAUCAAUAUGAGCUACAAUCUUGCAGGUGUAUAACAUCAGUAUGAGCCACAAUCUCGCAGGUAUGUAACAUCAAAAUGAGCCACACUCUCGCAGGUGUAUUAUAUCAAUAUGAGCUACAAUCUCGCAAGUGUGUAACAUCAAUAUGAGCCACAAUCUCACAGGAGUGUAACAUCAAUAUGAGCCACAAUCUCGCAGGUGUAUUAUAUCAAUACGAACCACAAUCUUGCAGAUGUAUUAUAUCAAUAUGAGCUACAAUCUCGCAUGUGUAUAACAUCAAUAUGAGCCACAAUCUCGCAGGUGUAUUAUAUAAAUAUGAGCUACAAUCUCACAGGAGUGUUACAUCAAUAUGAGCCACAAUCUCGCAGGUGUAUUAUAUCAAUGUGAGCUACAAUCUUGCAGGUAUGUAACAUGAAUAUGAGCUGCAAUCUCACAGGAGUGUAACAUAAAUAUGAGCCACAAUCUCACAGGUGUAUUAUAUCAAUAUGAACCACAAUCUCGCAGGUGUGUAACAUCCAUAUGAGCCACAAUCUCACAGGAGUGUAGCAUCAAUAUGAGCCACAAUCUUGCAGGUGUAUAACAUCAAUAUGAGCCACAAUCUCACAGGUGUAUAGCAUCAAUAUGAGCUACAAUCUCGCAGGUGUAUAACAUCAAUAUGAGCCACAAUCUCACAGGUGUAUAGCAUCAAUAUGAGCCACAAUCUCACAGGUGUGUAACAUAAAUAUGAGCCACAAUCUCGCAUGUGUAUAACAUCAAUAUGAGCCACAAUCUCGCAGGUGUAUUAUAUCAAUAUGAGCCACAAUCUCACAGGUGUUUAAGAUCAAUAUGAGCCACAAUCUCGCAGGUGUAUAACAUCAAUAUGAGCCACAAUCUCACAGGUGUAUAGCAUCAAUAUGAGCCACAAUCUCACAGGUGUAUAGCAUCAAUAUGAGCCACAAUCUCGCAGGUGUAUUAUAUCAAUAUGAGCCACAAUCUCGUAGGUGUAUAGCAUCAAUAUGAGCCACAAUCUCACAGGUGUAUAACAUCAAUAUGAGCCACAAUCUCACAGGUGUAUAGCAUCAAUAUGAGCCACAAUCUCACAGGUGUAUAGCAUCAAUAUGAGCCACAAUCUCGUAGGUGUAUAGCAUCAAUAUGAGCCACAAUCUCACAGGUGUAUAACAUCAAUAUGAGCCACAAUCUCACAGGUGUAUAGCAUCAAUAUGAGCCACAAUCUCGUAGGUGUAUAGCAUCAAUAUGAGCCACAAUCUCACAGGUGUAUAACAUCAAUAUGAGCCACAAUCUCACAGGUGUAUAGCAUCAAUAUGAGCCACAAUCUCACAGGUGUAUAGCAUCAAUAUGAGCCACAAUCUCGCAGGUGUAUUAUAUCAAUAUGAGCCACAAUCUCGUAGGUGUAUAGCAUCAAUAUGAGCCACAAUCUCACAGGUGUAUAACAUCAA